AACGAACGCUGGCGGCAUGCCUAACACAUGCAAGUCGAACGAGAGCUUCGGGACUAGUGGCGUACGGGUGCGUAGCGCGUGGGAACCUGCCCUUGGGUUCGGAAUAACUCCCCGAAAGGGGUGCUAAUACCGGAUCAUGUCUUCGGACCAAAGAUUUAUUGCGCUUGGUUGGGCACUCGUUGGAUUAGCUCGUUGGUAGGGUAAAAGCCUAACAAGGCGACGAUCAAUAGCUGGUCUGUGAGAAAGAUUAGCAACUCUGAGACUGAGACACGGCCCGGACUCCUACGCGAUGCAGGAGUGCGUAAUGUUGGAACGUGGGGGGAGUCAUGAUGGUGUUCUGCCGGGUGAGCGAUGAUAGCCGUAGAGUAGUAAAGCUCUUUUACCCGUGAUGAUAAUGACAGUACCUGAAGAAUAAGCUACGGCUAACUCCGUG
rnacentral:rRNA from 1 species